GACGAACGCUGGCGGCGUGCUUAACACAUGCAAGUCGAACGGAAAGGCCCUGCUUUUGUGGGGUGCUCGAGUGGCGAACGGGUGAGUAACACGUGAGUAACCUGCCCUUGACUUUGGGAUAACUUCAGGAAACUGGGGCUAAUACCGGAUAGGAGCUCCUGCUGCAUGGUGGGGGUUGGAAAGUUUCGGCGGUUGGGGAUGGACUCGCGGCUUAUCAGCUUGUUGGUUGGGUAGUGGCUUACCAAGGCUUUGACGGGUAGCCGGCCUGAGAGGGUGACCGGCCACAUUGCGCCUGGACUACGGCCCAGACUCCUACGCGACGCAGCAGUGGAGAAUAUUGCACAAUGGGCGGAAGCCUGAUGCAGCAACGCAGCGUGCGGGAUGACGGCCUUCGGGUUGUAAACCGCUUUCGCCUGUGACGAAGCGUGAGUGACGGUAAUGGGUAAAGAAGCACCGGCUAACUACGUG
rnacentral:rRNA from 1 species